GGUCUGUAGCGCGAGCUCUCCAAACACAAGACAGACAGACUAAUACUCCCGACAGAUGCACUGGACGAACUGGGAUAGACGUGAUCUGAGGGCCACACUGAGCAGUUGUACUGUAUUAUUUUCUCCUUAGACUAAAAGCGCCUAUUCCCGUCGCUUCCUGCAGCCGACUAAUUAAUGGAUAAUAACCGGGAGCCUCAGCCGCAGCACCGACGCACGGCCAAACGACGCGGGGACGUAUAGCGGCGUGGGUCCCAGCAGCAGUUGUAACGGUGACGGCGGCCGUCCUCCAACUGGGAUGGCAGCGAGCUCC